GACGAACGCUGGCGGCGUGCUUAACACAUGCAAGUCGAGCGGUAAGGCCCUUUCGGGGGUACGACGAGCGGGCGAACGGGUGAGUAACACGUGGGUGACCUGCCCUCAGCUCUGGGAUAAGCCCGGGAAACUGGGUCUAAUACCGGAUAUGACUCCAUGACGCAUGUUGUGGGGUGGAAAGCCUUGUGCGGCUGAGGAUGGGCCCGCGGCCUAUCAGCUUGUUGGUGGGGUGAUGGCCUACCAAGGCGACGACGGGUAGCCGGCCUGAGAGGGCGACCGGCCACACUGGGACUGAGACACGGCCCAGACUCCUACGGGAGGCAGCAGUGGGGAAUCUUGCGCAAUGGGCGAAAGCCUGACGCAGCGACGCCGCGUGAGGGAUGACGGCCUGUGU
rnacentral:rRNA from 1 species